rnacentral:rRNA from 1 species
GUAGGUGGCAAGCGUUGUCCGGAAUUAUGGGCGUAAAGCGCGCGCAGGCGGGGUCCUUUAAGUCUGAUGUGAAAGCCCACGGGCUCAACCGUGGAGGGUCAUUGGAAACUGGGGGACUUGAGUACAGAAGAGGAAAGCGGAAUUCCAAGUGUAGCGGUGAAAUGCGUAGAGAUUUGGAGGAACACCAGUGGCGAAGGCGGCUUUCUGGUCUGUAACUGACGCUGAGGCGCGAAAGCGUGGGGAGCAAACAGGAUUAGAUACCCUGGUAGUCCACGCCGUAAACGAUGAGUGCUAAGUGUUAGGGGGUUUCCGCCCCUUAGUGCUGCAGCUAACGCAUUAAGCACUCCGCCUGGGGAGUACGGCCGCAAAGGCUG